rnacentral:rRNA from 1 species
UCUGCUCAAUGUUUAAUUAUAAAUAGCUGCAUUUUUGUACUAAGGUAGCAUAAUAAUUUGCCUUUUAAUUGAAGGAUUGUAUGAAGGAAAACACAAAAUAGUUACUGUCUUUAUAUAAAUUUUAAAAGUUAAUCUAUAAGUGAAAAAGCUUAUAUUAAAUAAAUAGACAAGAAGACCCUGUUGAGCUUUUUCUAUUUUUAAUUUAAUAGAUUUUGUUGGGGCAACAAUAAUUUUUUUAAUAACAAUUAUAUUUAUUUUAGAAUAAUUUCAUUUUAUUAAUCUUAUUUUAUAAAAUUUUUAUAAGUUACCACAGGGAUAACAGGCUUAUAUUUUUUUAGAGUUCAAAUUAACAAAAAUGUUUGGCACCUCGAUGUUGGCUUAGGGUUACUUUAAAAAGCAGAAUUUUUAAAAGUUGGUUU